rnacentral:rRNA from 1 species
UACGUAGGGUGCGAGCGUUGCCCGGAUUUAUUGGGCGUAAAGGGCGCGUAGGCGGCCACGCACGUCCGUUGUGAAAUCGCCCGGCUCAACUGGGCGGGGUCGGCGGAUACGGCGUGGCUGGAGCAAGCUAGGGGCAAUGGAAUUCCCGGUGUAGUGGUGGAAUGCGUAGAUAUCGGGAGGAACACCAGUGGCGAAGGCGGUUGCCUGGAGCUUUGCUGACGCUGAGGCGCGAAAGCGUGGGGAGCGAUCCGG